CGCUCUGCAUGCGCCACUUUGGUUGAUAAUGAACUGUGACAAGUGUUCCCCGGUCACGGGAAAAGGGGCUGAGGCCCUCCAGGCCUCGACAGUCUGAGGCCGAACAACCUCAUCGCCCGGACAUAGCCGGGGUCGGUUUCCACAGGCACAUAGCCAAACCAGGUGCCUAGCAAUCGCGAUGCCACAGCAGAGCCAACCGCAGCCAGACACAGCACAGUUGUCAACAGCCGCACCACUUAUCAUGCCGCUACGCAUGCCCUGCCAGCCCCACCGCGGACCGCUACCUAGACACCGCCAGCCGGCUCCUCAGCCUGCGCGCUUGCGCCGCUUCUUGGGCGGCGCUGCGCUCUACUCAUCCACGUGGCCUUUCAGCAAACUUCCAGCCAGCCAGCAACUCGUCGGUACAGUAACUCCGGCGUUCGACCGGCCGCGUACUCCUGCCCUGCCGUUGCACAUUGUUUGUCAUCUGCUGGGUUCUGGGAAUCAGCUGCACCCUACGGGACUUUACCAACCUGCCUUGACACUGUCCCAUCACACAUCCACGUGGCCUUUCCCGCCCCCUCCGCUACCAAGAUGCGCGCACGCGCCCCCGCUGCUGCCACCGCCAUCGCCGCCGCCGCUGCCGCCACCGCCGCUGCCGCCGCCGCCGCCGCCAGUCUGCAGCGAUGCAGGUCGCUUGUGCCCCAGCAGCAUCUCCACCAGCACGUGCCGGAUGUUGGUUGCGGAGUUGACGUGACGUCCCUGCACCGUCGGGAGGGUAGUCGGCACGGACAGGGGCAAUCCUGGGGGGCUUCGCUUCCCCCUGGUUUUGAGAAGGGGGGGGGGGGGGGAAAGGACAGUCGGAAGGGGGUUCGCUUGGGGGGCUCAGCCCAAAAAUACGUAUGUGCGGGCUGUGCACACCAGGCAGCUUAGUUCAGGCAAACAAUGCCGAAUGCUGAUAAUGUGAUAUAUAUAUACUUGUAAUUAUUCAAGCACGCACUAUGGCGCCCAAGCGACCGGGUUCACCUGCGGACUCUGAGAGGAACGUCAAAUCCAGGAGCUGUUCAGGAAUGACCGAACAACUUUUCACCAUGCGGUUUAAAGCCAUUCUGGGCCGCCGGGCGCUCGCAAACAUACGCAUUUACAAACGAUGGGCUGUCUCAC
rnacentral:lncRNA from 1 species